UCAGGAUGAACGCUAGCGACAGGCCUAACACAUGCAAGUCAGGGGCAGCACAAGGAGCAAUCUGAGGUGGCGACCGGCGCACGGGUGAGUAACACGUAUGCAACCUGCCUGUAAGCGGGGAAUAACCCGUUGAAAGACGGACUAAUACCGCAUAAUACUAAAUUACUGCAUGGUAAUUUAUUUAAACAUUUAUGGCUUACAGAUGGGCAUGCGCAUGAUUAGCUAGUUGGAGAGGUAACGGCUCCCCAAGGCAACGAUCAUUAGGGGUUCUGAGAGGAGGGUCCCCCCACACUGGUACUGAGACACGGACCAGACUCCUACGGGAGGCAGCAGUGAGGAAUAUUGGUCAAUGGACGAGAGUCUGAACCAGCCAAGUCGCGUGCAGGAAGAAUUGUCCUAUGGAUUGUAAACUGCUUUUGCAGGGGAAUAAAGUGCAUCACGUGUGAUGUUUUGUAUGUACUCUGCGAAUAAGGAUCGGCUAACUCCGUGCCAGCCGCGGC
rnacentral:rRNA from 1 species